CUGCCAUGUAAGACAUGGCUUUUACCUUCCACCAUGAUUGUGAGGCCUUUCCAGCUACAAGGAACUUCCUCUAGGCAAGAAAAAAAAGAAGUCAAAGGAAAGACAAAGGAAGGAAAUGGAAGGAAAGGACAAAGAAGGAAAGUCUACUCUGAAUCUUGACAUGUCAGCUUGAUUCUAGAAGUGUGUUUAUUUAGAGGACUUACCCACAACUUUAACCUUGAUGCUUGCAUGUGCCUCUCCAGCUUCGUUUUUCAGAUUGAUGUGGUAAACACCAGAGUCAUCUCUUUCAGCUACAUCAAUGACCAGAGUGCUGCUGUCAGGGCUAGCGAUAUGCAGUAUGAUACUCUCUUGUGAUAGUGGGUGGCAGCAGCGAGCCUCAGCUCCCAGUUAACCAUAUAAUCAUGACUGAUCUCCACAGUGUACUGUGUUGCCAGACGAUUUGUCCAACUGUAGGCUAAUAGAAACUAGGUGAAUGCAGAAAAUUGCAUCCACCUGAAAUGACCCAGCAAGGAAUGCACAAAAUCUGCAGACUCACACCUCAAACAUUUAUCAGCUACCUCAGUUCAUCCAUGUGAUAUAAGCCACACCCAUUUAUAUCUGAGGUCACUACUACUCAUCAGAUUUUGAAUAAUCCUCUUUCUACUGCUUCACAACAGUUCACAAGCCACAACACUUCCAGCAUUGCUUCUUCUUCAACAAACCAGAAGACUCGUUAGGAUCCAUAACAGCUGCCAGCGUAGAGGAGCCUCAGUUACUUUCACUUUGAUCAUUAUCCCUGGGAGAAGAAGCCAACAGCUCCUGGUGACCACAAUAAGAGAUUCCAUUUUUACCUCGUACGAAGAGCUCAGUGGAACAUUUCUCAUCACCGGCUGUCACAUAAUACUCCGAAUCAUCUGUCAUCUGACAGUUAUUGAUAAACAGGAUUCUCUGGCAUCCUUUGUGUUCAAAGAUGUACCUGUUUUGAAUAGGAGGAAAAUAAACAGAGUCUGUGAA